UAAUGUAUGGGGAUCUGCCCGAUAGAGGGGGGUAACUACUGGGAACGGGUGGCUAAUACCGCAUAAUGUCUACGGACCAAAGCAGGGGCUCUUCGGACCUUGCACUAUCGGAUGAACCCAUAUGGGAUUAGCUAGUAGGUGGGGUAAAGGCUCACCUAGGCGACGAUCUCUAGCUGGUCUGAGAGGAUGAUCAGCCACACUGGGACUGAGACACGGCCCAG
rnacentral:rRNA from 1 species